GCUUGCUGCUUUGCUGACGAGUGGCGGACGGGUGAGUAAUGUCUGGGAAACUGCCUGAUGGAGGGGGAUAACUACUGGAAACGGUGGCUAAUACCGCAUAACGUCGCAAGACCAAAGAGGGGGACCUUCGGGCCUCUUGCCAUCAGAUGUGCCCAGAUGGGAUUAGCUUGUUGGUGAGGUAACGGCUCACCAAGGCGACGAUCCCUAGCUGGUCUGAGAGGAUGACCAGCCACACUGGAACUGAGACACGGUCCAGACUCCUACGGGAGGCAGCAGUGGGGAAUAUUGCACAAUGGGCGCAAGCCUGAUGCAGCCAUGCCGCGUGUAUGAAGAAGGCCUUCGGGUUGUAAAGUACUUUCAGCGGGGAGGAAGGUGUUGUGGUUAAUAACCGCAGCAAUUGACGUUACCCGCAGAAGAAGCACCGGCUAACUCCGUGCCAGCAGCCGCGGUAAUACGGAGGGUGCAAGCGUUAAUCGGAAUUACUGGGCGUAAAGCGCACGCAGGCGGUCUGUCAAGUCGGAUGUGAAAUCCCCGGGCUCAACCUGGGAACUGCAUUCGAAACUGGCAGGCUUGAGUCUUGUAGAGGGGGGUAGAAUUCCAGGUGUAGCGGUGAAAUGCGUAGAGAUCUGGAGGAAUACCGGUGGCGAAGGCGGCCCCCUGGACAAAGACUGACGCU
rnacentral:rRNA from 1 species